CCUACGGGAGGCAGCAGUGGGGAAUCUUGCGCAAUGGGCGAAAGCCUGACGCAGCGACGCCGCGUGAGUGAUGAAGGCCUUCGGUUGUAAAGCUCUGUGGAGAGAGUCCCGGUAUCUCCUUAGCAAGCACCGGCUAACUCUGUGCCAGCAGCCGCGGUAAGACAGAGGGUGCAAACGUUGUUCGGAAUUACGGGCGUAAAGCGUGUGUAGGCGGUCCAUUAAGUCGGGUGUGAAAGCCCUGGGCUCAACCCAGGAAGUGCACUCGAAACUGGCGGGCUAGAGUAUCGGAGAGGUUGGUGGAAUUCUCGGUGUAGAGGUGAAAUUCGUAGAUAUCGAGAGGAACACCGGUGGCGAAGCGGCCAACUGGACGAAACUGACGCUGAGACACGAAAGCGUGGGGAGCAAACAGGAUUAGAUACCCUUGUAGUC
rnacentral:rRNA from 1 species